ACAAGUUGAGUAAAUAAUAGCAACUGCAGAAUACCCUGACAUCUGUAAACUGAGCCCAGGGACAGCACAGGCCGCAAGUGUUGACGCUUAUUGGCAUGGCUACCAGUCCUCUCCCUGGCCGAGAACUCCUUUUUGAAUUCAUACUUGAAGGCAAGGUUUGUUUCCUUUUUCUGGCAGUUGACUUUGAGGAUGUCACCUUUCACUUUUGGAAGGA
rnacentral:lncRNA from 1 species